rnacentral:rRNA from 1 species
AGCGCAGGCGGGAAGACAAGUUGGAAGUGAAAUCCAUGGGCUCAACCCACGAACUGCUUUCAAAACUGUUUUUCUUGAGUAGUGCAGAGGUAGGCGGAAUUCCCGGUGUAGCGGUGGAAUGCGUAGAUAUCGGGAGGAACACCAGUGGCGAAGGCGGCCUACUGGGCACCAACUGACGCUGAGGCUCGAAAGUGUGGGUAGCAAACA